AGAUUGAACGCUGGCGGCAGGCCUAACACAUGCAAGUCGAGCGGCAGCACGGGUACUUGUACCUGGUGGCGAGCGGCGGACGGGUGAGUAAUGCCUAGGAAUCUGCCUGGUAGUGGGGGAUAACGCUCGGAAACGGACGCUAAUACCGCAUACGUCCUACGGGAGAAAGCAGGGGACCUUCGGGCCUUGCGCUAUCAGAUGAGCCUAGGUCGGAUUAGCUAGUUGGUGAGGUAAUGGCUCACCAAGGCGACGAUCCGUAACUGGUCUGAGAGGAUGAUCAGUCACACUGGAACUGAGACACGGUACCAGACUCCUACGGGAGGCAGCGAGUGGGGG
rnacentral:rRNA from 1 species